rnacentral:lncRNA from 1 species
UCCACUCUCUUCCAAUUAAACAAACUUUCUACUUUCAAGACCAGUUCUUGCUUCUUACACUUGCAUAGCUCUCAAGUAAUGGCUCCAACACUUGCAGAACCGACCCCCGUUUCCUCCUUUGAUCUGAAUGAUUUUGUCAUAAACAAAGGAAAUGGAGUAAAGGGUCUUUCUAAUUUAGGCCUAAAAAGCCUUCCUAGACAAUAUAUCCAGCCUCAAGAAGCUUUGAUCAAUAUCAUCCCACAAGAUUCCAUACCUGUUAUUGAUAUGUCUAACUUUGAUAGUGACCCAGAAAUUGCAGAAUCAAUCUGUGAUGCUGCGGAGAAGUUUGGGUUCUUUCAGCUUGUUAAUCAUGAUGUUCCUGUUGAAGUUCUUGAUG